CAGUCGCCGCGGGAAUACGUAUGUCACAAGCGUUAUCCGGAUUUAUUGGGCGUAAAGCGCGUCUAGGUGGUUAUGUAAGUCUGAUGUGAAAAUGCAGGGCUCAACUCUGUAUUGCGUUGGAAACUGUGUAACUAGAGUACUGGAGAGGUAAGCGGAACUACAAGUGUAGAGGUGAAAUUCGUAGAUAUUUGUAGGAAUGCCGAUGGGGAAGCCAGCUUACUGGACAGAUACUGACGCUGAAGCGCGAAAGCGUGGGUAGCAAACAGGAUUAGAUACCCCCGUAGUCCCUGUCUCUUAUACA
rnacentral:rRNA from 1 species